CAUGACAUCACAGUUCCCAUAGCAACAAUGGUAAGUUAGUACAGAAAUGACCUCAGUUAGAGAUCUUUGGGUGAGUUAACAGUGGAUGUCAUCUUCAGGUGCUGAAUAGAAAGAAAGGUGAAGAAAUAUAAGAACAGGAACAGGUGUCUGAUUCUCCUGCCAACAUCACUUACAAACAAAAUGAGGGGGAAGAACAGAGCACCGUACAUCACCAUGUCUGGAGAGUCAUUAGCUGGAAAAUUAAUCAGGGUGGAGAACAGCUGAAUAAAACCCCAGCCCUCAGUGUAACUUUCCACAUCCCUGGCUCAGCUGUGGAUACUAGCCAGCGCCAACCCUCAAAGGACAUCUUGGACUAUUCCCACCAGUGAAAAGGCACAAAUUGUGACUCCAUCGAUAUAUGGAGCUGCUCAAUAAAAGGAAACAAAAUCCCUCUUCUGAAACAGAUGGACAAAUUUUCUCCAACAAAGAGAAUACGGAAAUUAAGUAUCUUGCUCAAGAUCACAUAUAUUGUCAGAAUAUAUAAAAAGAGGCAGAAGUUAAAUCUAGGCCAUCCUGACUCCAAAUACAUUUCAUCUGAUGUAUUCAGAGAGCUUCCAGACAUUAAUUAAAUUCGACAACACCCUGUGUGUUAAGUUGAAUUGUAAGAAAUGUGAAAGUGGAUGUCAAGAAACUGAUGUUUUAUUCUGAGCUCUUCCAUUAACAGAAUGUUUUGCCUUGGGUAAGUAACUGACUCUGAAGACCCCUGGAUCUCAAUUUCUGCUUCUGUCAAAUUGUAGAAAUGGACUCAGUGAGUGCUAAUGUACUUUUGCACUCUAAUUAUAUGCAUUCUCACUUAUUUAUCUUCUAGCUCUCACCUUUUGAGUUAUAAAAUCCCAUAUUGUUCUAACAUUCUAUGCUCUAUUUUCCAAUCCUACAAACAUUUAGCAAACACCUUCUAAAUGCAACAUUCUGCCCAAGAUGCUGGGAACACAGAGGCAAAAUGGAAAAUAGCAUCUAUCCUCAAAAAGACUAUUAAUUCUACCAAGGGAAUAUAUAAACAGAAUAAGUACAUGAUUUUUGAGGAAGGAAAGGACAUUAAGAACUAGCGAUUAUGCUUUUUGUCUCUGUUUUUUAGUUUUAACUUCACUUCCUCAUUUUAAAAAUAG
rnacentral:lncRNA from 1 species